UCAGCCCUGUGUCCCAGGGUCAUCCCAGCACAGGAACAAUGACCCCUGUGAGCACCCCAGUCUUGGAGAAAGCCACACUUGAGUUCCUGCC